rnacentral:rRNA from 1 species
GAUGAACGCUGGCGGCGUGCCUAAUACAUGCAAGUCGAGCGAACAGAUGAGGAGCUUGCUCCUCUGACGUUAGCGGCGGACGGGUGAGUAACACGUGGAUAACCUACCUAUAAGACUGGGAUAACUUCGGGAAACCGGAGCUAAUACCGGAUAAUAUAUUGAACCGCAUGGUUCAAUAGUGAAAGACGGUUUUGCUGUCACUUAUAGAUGGAUCCGCGCCGCAUUAGCUAGUUGGUAAGGUAACGGCUUACCAAGGCAACGAUGCGUAGCCGACCUGAGAGGGUGAUCGGCCACACGGGAACUGAGACACGGUACAGACACCUACGGGAGGCAGCAGUAGGGAAUCUUCCGCAAUGGGCGAAAGCCUGACGGAGCAACGCCGCGUGAGUGAUGAAGGUCUUCGGAUCGUAAAACUCUGUUAUUAGGGAAGAACAAAUGUGUAAGUAACUAUGCACGUCUUGACGGUACCUAAUCAGAAAGCCACGGCUAACUACGUG